ACAACCUGCUGUGGUUUCAUGCUCAACCUGGAUCUACGCUGAAUCUACCUGCAGUUUCACGAGGGAGAUGGAGAAUCUGCUUUUUCAUCUUGAUCAUCAUAUGAAUGGUGGAGAAAACUGUCAAGAGAAUAAGAGCAGAGAGACAGUGCCCUGCCUGCUGAGCAGAUCUGAGAGUGUUCCCUCUUCCCUGAAGAAGAACAGAUGAAGAGCAAAACUGCAUAGUAAACUCCCGCGGUGUUGGUGCCAUGAAAUACAUUCCACUCAGACAAGUAAAUGGAUACAUCAUUAAUGGUCUUAUGUAGUGCAACAAAACAACUUGUCAAGGCAGUUCCUACGAAUUUGCAGGCAGGACAAAAUUCACAUGUGCCCUGGUAAAUUAAAUCCAAGCACAGCUUUUUAAAAAUGUGAACAAAGGAAGAUGUUUUGAAUUGCUGCAUGAUGCUGCCUUCUGUGAGGUGCAUUAAUUUAACAAGUAUUGCUUAAUCGAUAAAAGCUCUAAAAAAAUGUGCAACUUGGUCUUCGAAAAGACACAAAUAGGCUUUUUAAAUGUUAACUUUCUAAAGCUGUCAAUUUGCAUGUACUUGUGUGCUUUAAAGAUAAAAAAGCAGCAACUCCCUGCAGCUCUUCAGCUCAAAUCUGAAGUAUUACAGGCUGACUUUCCGUCUCGAGAAUGUUAAUGAAAUUCGCUUUGUGUUAAGAUACAAUGCAAGACUAAUCUUGGCAGAUCACACAUUCUGCUGUUGAUUUACCUUUUUUUCUUCAGAGGCUGCAAAGAUAUUGUAGGGUUACUUCAGUGCAUGUUCCAAACUUUUGUUACACAAACCUCAAGGGCCUCUCCUCCAAAUUAUGAAGACAAGCAAUAAAGAUCAGAGCCAGGAUGGAAAGCUGAGGGAACAUGUUUAGACAAAGCACACUGAAGAUCAUUUAAAAAGAUUUAAUCACAGACUUUAAACCCUCCCAGCCCCCACCUCCAUAUCAAGAUGAAAUCAUUACCUACAGUUAGCCUCACAUUUUGAUAUCUCAGAAUUGAAAUGCUUGUAACCAAAUGAUGCUAAAAUUAGAACCAAGAACUCCUUUCUAGCCCUGCAACCUAGAAGUAAACCCAAGACCUUUCCAGGAGAGAGCAUGAACUAAGUAAUGCACAUUUUUGCUGUGUACUUUGCUGGGAUAGGAAGAGAAGAGAUUCUUGAAUGAGAUCAGCAAAGAGAAAAUUUUUGCUGCAGUAUUUUCAGUCAGACUUGAACAACCUCAGUAAUGAAACAAGACUAUCUAUCUUACGUGGAAAACCAUAGAGUUUAUCUUUGUAUUGUUCUAUACAACAUUGACUGCUUUGGCUGUGACAGAA